rnacentral:rRNA from 1 species
GAUGAACGCUGGCGGCGUGCCUCAUACAUGCAAGUCGAGCGAACGGACGAGAAGCUUGCUUCUCUGAUGUUAGCGGCGGACGGGUGAGUAACACGUGGAUAACCUACCUAUAAGACUGGGAUAACUUCGGGAAACCGGAGCUAAUACCGGAUAAUAUUUUGAACCGCAUGGUUCAAAAGUGAAAGACGGUCUUGCUGUCACUUAUAGAUGGAUCCGCGCUGCAUUAGCUAGUUGGUAAGGUAACGGCUUACCAAGGCAACGAUGCAUAGCCGACCUGAGAGGGUGAUCGGCCACACUGGAACUGAGACACGGUCCAGACUCCUACGGGAGGCAGCAGUAGGGAAUCUUCCGCAAUGGGCGCAAGCCUGACGGAGCAACGCCGCGUGAGUGAUGAAGGUCUUCGGAUCGUAAAACUCUGUUAUUAGGGAAGAACAUAUGUGUAAGUAACUGUGCACAUCUUGACGGUACCUAAUCAGAAAGCCACGGCUAACUACGUGCCAGCAGCCGCGGUAAUACGUAGGUGGCAAGCGUUAUCCGGAAUUAUUGGGCGUAAAGCGCGCGUAGGCGGUUUUUUAAGUCUGAUGUGAAAGCCCACGGCUCAACCGUGGAGGGUCAUUGGAAACUGGAAAACUUGAGUGCAGAAGAGGAAAGUGGAAUUCCAUGUGUAGCGGUGAAAUGCGCAGAGAUAUGGAGGAACACCAGUGGCGAAGGCGACUUUCUGGUCUGUAACUGACGCUGAUGUGCGAAAGCGUGGGGAUCAAACAGGAUUAGAUACCCUGGUAGUCCACGCCGUAAACGAUGAGUGCUAAGUGUUAGGGGGUUUCCGCCCCUUAGUGCUGCAGCUAACGCAUUAAGCACUCCGCCUGGGGAGUACGACCGCAAGGUUG